rnacentral:rRNA from 5 species
CGAAUAGGGGCAACCCUUAGUAGAGCGGCGCACGGGUGCGUAACACGUGGAUAAUCUGCCUGGAUGCUCGGGAUAACCAGUCGAAAGAUUGGCUAAUACCGGAUAAGCCCACGGUUUCUUCGGAGACUGAGGGAAAAGGUGGCCUCUGUAUACAAGCUAUCACAACCAGAUGAGUCCGCGGCCCAUCAGCUAGUUGGCGGGGUAAUGGCCCACCAAGGCGACGACGGGUAGCUGGUCUGAGAGGACGAUCAGCCACACUGGAACUGAGACACGGUCCAGACUCCUACGGGAGGCAGCAGUGGGGAAUUUUGCGCAAUGGGCGAAAGCCUGACGCAGCAACGCCGCGUGUGUGAUGAAGGUCUUCGGAUUGUAAAGCACUUUCGACCGGGACGAAAACCCGUAGCCCAACACGCUACGGCUUGACGGUACCGGGAGAAGAAGCACCGGCUAACUCUGUGCCAGCAGCCGCGGUAAUACAGAGGGUGCAAGCGUUGUUCGGAAUUAUUGGGCGUAAAGCGCGUGUAGGCGGCGUGACAAGUCGGGUGUGAAAGCCCUCAGCUCAACUGAGGAAGUGCGCCCGAAACUGUCGUGCUUGAGUGCCGGAGAGGGUGGCGGAAUUCCCCAAGUAGAGGUGAAAUUCGUAGAUAUGGGGAGGAACACCGGUGGCGAAGGCGGCCACCUGGACGGUAACUGACGCUGAGACGCGAAAGCGUGGGGA